rnacentral:misc_RNA from 1 species
ACGGGUGGUCGGCUCCCUGCUUGAGCAGGCACGGCCACGCGUGCAUUCCUUUUCAGUUGUGCGGCAAGGCUUGUAUCGUCUUGAUCGUGUAAGUGGGUUUCUUGUGUUGCAUACCUGAUCAAUGGCAUCGUUUUGAUCAAAAGUGUACCUUUUUCGUCUGGCGAUGCACUUGUUGCAUUGUCGGAUGAACCGUGUAGCAUCCUCUUUGAUCCAUACAGUUGACGUGUAUUCGUUGAUUGUUUGGCCCGUUGAGGGUGACUUGGUCUCUCGGAUAUGGAAGCCAAAGUGGGCAUGGGUUCGCAAGAUCCUUUUAUUGCCCUCAUUGAGCGUUCUCGCUUCUCUUACACGACCGCCUUUCACGUAUGGCACGUCCCAGCGUGUUUGGCUAUGUCGAAGAGGAA